GUUAGAUCACUAGUAAGCAAAUCAAUAUAAAAAAAUUAGGCUUAGGAUAGUACAAAAGAAGAUCAGAAAUUCCUGCAGAAGACCAAGUAGGAACAAAGACCUCAUUUGGCUUAUUAAAGAAGAGAUCACGAGAUAUAAAACAUACCCAGACUUGGUUCACAUGCAUACCAACACCUCAUAAAAAUUUGAGUACAUUACCACAACAAAAGCUUGCUGCCCAGAACACACCAUUCUUACCUCUCUCACUCGCCAGCUCCUGCGAGAUUGUAGAGCUUGGUUCUUCCUUCGUUUUCUUCAAUUUUUCUCUAUAAAAAACUUGCAUGCAAAGCUUGAUUCAUAUUCUAAACACAUAGGUGCAUACUGGGAAGGUAAAAGUUCGAGCUUUAAGAGUCGGGAAGUUCAAGAAGCAAGGCCAUCUUCUUCAAUCAAGGAAACAGAUCAAAAAGAAUCAAGAAUCCAGUCUUGAGGAGCAGUAGAAGUCGAGUUACACCAUUUACAAAUUAAGACUCUUGUGCAGGGAAAAGCAAGCUAAGGUAGUCCGAGGGAUGAGCUGUAGUGAAGUCAUGUCUCAACUGUCAUAGUGGAUGCAAGCUUGAACAUGAUCAUAUUUUGCAACUUACUUCUGCUCAUGAACACUGUUUAACUUUAUUUUAUAACUUUCUUUUGGGUCUGUAAUAACUAACUUAAUUUCAUAUGUGAUGAAUGUUUAUUUUAAGAUUAGCUCGUAGAGUCAAUUCAACCA